GUCGAGUGGCGAACGGGUGAGUAACACGUGGGUGAUCUGCCCUGCACUCUGGGAUAAGCCUGGGAAACUGGGUCUAAUACCGGAUAGGACCAUGCUUUAGUGUGUGUGGUGGAAAGUUUUUCGGUGUAGGAUGAGCCCGCGGCCUAUCAGCUUGUUGGUGGGGUAAUGGCCUACCAAGGCGGCGACGGGUAACCGGACUGAGAGGGUGAUCGGCCACAUUGGGACUGAGAUACGGCCCAG
rnacentral:rRNA from 1 species